AUAUAAAUGAGUUCUUUGUGUACCCUCAGCAGGAACUGCAUUUUAGCUGGUUUUAAAUCUCAACAAUCACUUUCCUGCCUUGGAGAAGGUGUGAACCAGGCUGUUUAUGUAGAAUCCAGGUUAUGUGAAGUUGGCAGUUCCCAAGGGCUUUAG
rnacentral:lncRNA from 1 species